UGGAGAGCUGGCUGGCGCAUGGCCAGUCUGGAAGCAGAGCAUCAAGGCUCUCGGGCACAAAUGAUGGCAGCACAGUCUCGGGUGUUGCUUGUGGGGAUGGAGCAAAGCAGGAGCAUCUAUUAGAGAACAGAAUCUACAUGAUAUGCUUCCCUUGAUGCUGCACUGCCUUCAGACUGAACAGUAUCACCAAUUGCUCUGCCAAGAUGUGAUCCUGCCCUGCUCCCAUCAAGUUGAAGUAUUUGUGUUACCACCCUCAGUCUGGACAGGUGCACACAAGUCAUCCGGAUGGAGGCCCACCCCAACACCCUAAUCUUACCUUGGCCAUGUCUACCAAGACCUAUUUCGCAUGGGUGCCACAGGUUAGGAUUUCAGCAUAUAUUUUUUUAAGGACACAAUUCAGCUUGUUCCAAUGACAAAGAAUCCUGACUUCUAGACCUAAAACAAACAGAUGAGCUGCAAAUAAGAACCACGCUACCUGAGCUCUAGGAGACAAAAGUGGCUGUGAAGCACCUAAUAAACUCAGAGCCAGCUGCCGUGACAGCUCUGCACAUUGACACUGCCACAGACUGGUGCAGGUAGUGGGCCCGGCAAUGGCCACAGCU